rnacentral:lncRNA from 1 species
CUGCUGCGGCGGAGAAACGGAGGCCAGCGCGGGGAGCGGACGCCGGAGCCUGUCGGGAGCAACCCCGGGAAGGCCAGUCCCUCCUGCCGGAGGGAGGCGUGUUGGCGUGCGGCCGGUGGCGGGAUCGAUGGCCACCUGGUAGGCGAUGGUAAGCGGCAGUGGCCUGCGCCAAGGUAGCCUCCGGGGGGCGGUGUGUGGCGCCCGGACCCGCACCCUCUGCUCCCGGGGGUGGAGCUGACCUGCUUGCCCUGGGUUGGGCUCGGGAGCCUGCGGGACGCGGCCAGGAGGGAGCUGGCUGGCCGUCCCGGCGGUGGGGGCUGUGGCGGUGGCCGUCCCGCGGGUGUGCCCGUGCUCGGAUCGAUGAUGACACCCACAAACGCAUUCCUUGGAAAAUCUGAACAAAAUGAGUGAGAACUCACUACCGUCUCCUCAUCGCAAACUGAGGUCCAGCACGUGGCUCCCACAGGGGACGUUGGGGGACGUCCCGUUGCCUUGGCUCCCUUGGCUGCUGCGGCGGAGAAACGGAGGCCAGCGCGGGGAGCGGAAGCCGGAGCCUGUCGGGAGCGACCCCGGGAAGGCCAGUCCCUCCUGCCGGUGGGAGGCGGGUUGGCGAGCGGCCGGUGGCGGGAUCGAUGGCCACCUGGUAGGCGAUGCUGCUGCGGCGGAGAAACGGAGGCCAGCGCGGGGAGCGGAAGCCGGAGCCUGUCGGGAGCGACCCCGGGAAGGCCAGUCCCUCCUGCCGGUGGGAGGCGGGUUGGCGAGCGGCCGGUGGCGGGAUCGAUGGCCACCUGGUAGGCGAUGGUAAGCGGCAGUGGCCUGCGCCAAGGUAGCCCCCGGGGGGCGGUGUGUGGCGCCCGGACCCGCACCCUCUGCUCCCGGGGGUGGAGCUGACCUGCUUGCCCGCGGUUGGGCUCGGGAGCCUGCGGGCCGCGGCCAGGAGGGAGCUGGCUGGCCGUCCCGGCGGUGGGGGCUGUGGCGGUGGCCGUCCCGCGGGUGUGCCCGUGCUCGGAUCGAUGAUGACACCCACAAACGCAUUCCUUGGAAAAUCUGAACAAAAUGAGUGAGAACUCACUACCGUCUCCUCAUCGCAAACUGAGGUCCGGCACGUGGCUCCCACAGGGGCCGUCGGGGGAGGGUCCCGUUGCCUUGGCUCCCUUGGGUGCGUGCAGCCCUGGGGCGCAGGUGGGGGCAGGCAGGCCUCCGGU